AACCAAAACUACACAGAGAAACCCUGUCUCCAAAAACCAAAAUGAGUUAGUUCCAAGUUACAACCUAGUAUGGCGCAUUAAAUUAAUGUUACUUGUACAUACACUUUUGAGUAUUAACCCUUCUUGUUAUAAAUUUUAAGAGAAUAAUUUCUCUACUUGGAAUUUUACAGUUUUUUUACAUCCAUACCCACAAUGAUCUUACAGAUCCCACAAGAAAGAAAGCUAACUUUCUAGAAGUAGUGCCAAAGAUAUCCAUGGGGAAGCAUAUUUUAAACAAAACCUAGGUAAAGGAGAAAAAUUUAGAGAGGUAAACACCUAUAAUAAUAUUUAGCCAUUCUUUCCAUAUAUAAGUUUUCCUGGUCAAAAAUUUUAAAUACCAUGACACAAAAUAGUGACAAUAAACUUACCAUUUUUAUUGUAAGAAAUUUUCACUAAGUGAAGUGUUAGGCAGUAUCUGGCAGAGUGGCAACAAGAAUAGAGACACUAGUCCUGGAUUGAGCCUUAGAAAUCUCAAAGCAUAGCCCCUGUUUACUGCCUCCAACAGUUCCUCUAACGAGGCCACACCUUCACCAAGAAGACCACACCUCCUAAUAAGUGGUACUAGUUUGAGACUAAGCCUUCAAAUCUAUGAGUCUAUGGAGGACAUUCUUAUUCAAACCAUGAUAGUAUCUUAGAACAAUAUAUUUCUAAGUGUUUGUAACUGUUUCUUUGAAUUACAAAGUCAUUGGAACUAUCUAAUUAUACUGAGAACAGCAUAAUUUUAAUUGAAGGAGAUUGAAAAGUAGCCAUAGCACAGUCUGCAUUUCAUUAUCAUUGGGUACUCCUGGAAAUACACCAUAAGGAUCAUAGUUUGCCAAUAUCCUUUCAAAGCUUAGAAUGGUGAUCAAUUUUAAUUUCACAUUGGACAUUUUAUUUAAUUUUAGUUAUUCUUUGGUAUUAAUACGUACUUAUAUAAAAGAUCUUUAUCAUAUCUACCUAUUCUCGACCCUUCAACCCAUCCAUGAUGCCCAUAUCAAAUCUCAAUUCCAGCUUUGUGUCCUCCUUCUACAAUAGUUUAUUUAUUUAUCUUUUAAAACCAUUGAUCAAUUAGUGCUUCACAUAUGUGUGUAUAGGAUGAGUACAGAGAAAAAAAUAUUCAGCAUUUUCAACAUAGUAGGGGAAAGAGGUAAUGUAGAGAGAAAUCACAAGGCCUGAGGGACAAAUUAUUAAUUGGAAUCUAUACAAGUUCUCAAAGUCUAUAUUAGGAGUAAGCAACACGGAUGGUAGGAGGUCACUCUUACCUUGUAACUGAGUGGUAGUUCACAUGUAUUUCUGCUUGGACUGUGAGGUGAUAGAUGCUCAUUCAUGAUACUUAAUUGUGUUAUCUCUCUUUCUCUGAGAAUCUGGUCAGGAGGAAGAUUUACUCCAUGUGGAUGUCUAGAUGGGUCACAAUGAUGUUGUAGGGAUUGACAGUAAACUAGAAACCUGAAGGGAUCUCACCAUACUGCUCAUGAUAAUCUAUGACUCAGACCUUGAGGAGGUGCUUCUCUCUUGUCUCCUUUGGAGCUUUCACUGAAGACACAGACCCCACACCUAGCUGGUGGAAUGUGAGGUAUUUCUGAUACAGAGUCUGACUGCUGCUCAGUGAGGUUGCAACACAAGAACUGAAGCCAUGCUUCCUCUCAGCAUCCUGAGAAGCUCACACUGGAGACCGCUGCUCUCAGCUUAUGGACCUUGUCACUAAAGAAUAGUUGCAAAGAAUGGACAAUUUGAUUGACCAUGUGGAAGAAGACAGAGGAGGCAGAGAAAUGACAUAACUUGUGAGGAUGCUGUAAUCAUUUCACAAUAAAUGAAUCUGGUCAGGAGGGAAAUCUGGUUCCUGUUGAUAUCUCGAUGGAUCAUAUUGAUGACUUUGAAAUGACAGUGAACUAGAACCCUAAAGGGUGUGUAAAUUUCAUUUUUCAUGAUUAUAUAUAUAUAUAUAUUCACGUGAUAUAUAGCAUAAAGUUGUAAUCAUCCAAUAUGUAUAGUUGUUAUAUAAAGUUUUCAAUAAUAUCUCCUGUCACUAAA